GACGAACGCUGGCGGCGUGCCUAACACAUGCAAGUCGAGCGGAGAUAGACUGAUGGUAACUGAAGUUUGUCUUAGCGGCGGACGGGUGAGUAACACGUGGGCAACCUGCCUUGGAGUGGGGGAUAACACCGGGAAAUCGGUGCUAAUACCGCAUAACAUACACAAGCUGCAUGGUAUGUGUAUCAAAGGAGUAAUCCGCUUUAAGAUGGGCCCGCGGCUGAUUAGCUAGUUGGUAAGGUAACGGCUUACCAAGGCGACGAUCAGUAGCCGACCUGAGAGGGUGACCGGCCACACUGGAACUGAGACACGGUCCAGACUCCUACGGGAGGCAGCAGUGGGGAAUAUUGCGCAAUGGGGGGAAACCCUGACGCAGCAACGCCGCGUGGAGGAAGAAAGGUCGUUCGGAUUGUAAACUCCUGUCUUCUGGGUAAGGAAUAAUGACGGUACCUACGAGGAGGAAGGACCGACGGACUAACUAACCUGGCCAGGCAGCCGCGGUAAAACGUACGACGUCCG
rnacentral:rRNA from 1 species